rnacentral:rRNA from 1 species
AACAAACGCUGGCGGCGCGUUUUAAGCAUGCAAGUCGGACGGCAAGAGUUGUAGCAAUAUGACUCUGAGAGUGGCGAACGGGUGAGUAACACGUAGGUGAUCUACCCUUGGAUGGGGGAUAGUCCGUGGAAACACGGGAUAAUACCUCAUGAGGCCUUGUGGGUGGAGCCAUGAGGUGAAAGGUGCAAUUGCACCGUCUGGGGAUGAGCCUGCGGUCCAUUAGGUAGUUGGCGGGGUAAGAGCCCACCAAGCCGACGAUGGAUAGCCGGCCUGAGAGGGUGUACGGCCACACUGGAACUGAGACACGGUCCAGACUCCUACGGGAGGCAG